rnacentral:rRNA from 1 species
UCGUUCAUCGGCGUAGAGUGAGUCGGCCCCUAAGGCGAGGCAGAGAUGCGUAGCUGAUGGGAAACAGGUCAAUAUUCCUGUACCGAUGUGUAGUGCGAUGUGGGGACGGAGAAGGUUAGCUCAGCCAACUGUUGGAUAUGUUGGUUCAAGCCUGUAGUCGUGCCCGGUAGGCAAAUCCGCCGGGCUUAGAUGAGAGGUGAUAACGAGGCUGCUUGCAGCCGAAGUGAGUGAUACCCUGCUUCCAGGAAAAGCCACUAAGCUUCAGCUACACACGACCGUACCGCAAACCGACACUGGUGCGCGAGAUGAGUAUUCUAAGGCGCUUGAGAGAACUCAGGAGAAGGAACUCGGCAAAUUGAUACCGUAACUUCGGGAGAAGGUAUGCCCCAAGUAGGUGAACCUGUACAAGGCGAGCCCAAAGGGGUUGCAAAAAAUCGGUGGCUGCGACUGUUUAAUAAAAACACAGCACUCUGCAAACACGAAAGUGGACGUAUAGGGUGUGACGCCUGCCCGGUGCUGGAAGAUUAAAUGAUGGGGUGCAAGCUCUUGACUGAAGUCCCAGUAAACGGCGGCCGUAACAAUAACGGUCCUAAGGUAGCGAAAUUCCUUGUCGGGUAAGUUCCGACCUGCACGAAUGGCGUAACGAUGGCCACACUGUCUCCUCCCGAGACUCAGCGAAGUUGAAAUGUUUGUGAUGAUGCAAUCUCCCCGCGGAAAGACGGAAAGACCCCAUGAACCUUUACUGUAGCUUUGUAUUGGACUUUGAACAGAUCUGUGUAGGAUAGGUGGGAGGCUUUGAAGUGAGGUCGCUAGAUCUCAUGGAGCCAACGUUGAAAUACCACCCUGGUGUGUUUGAGGUUCUAACCUAGGUCCAUUAUCUGGAUCGGGGACAGUGCAUGGUAGGCAGUUUGACUGGGGCGGUCUCCUCCCAAAGCGUAACGGAGGAGUUCGAAGGUACGCUAGUAACGGUCGGACAUCGUGACGAUAGUGCAAUGGCAUAAGCGUGCUUAACUGCGAGACUGACAAGUCAAGCAGAUGCGAAAGCAGGACAUAGUGAUCCGGUGGUUCUGUAUGGAAGGGCCAUCGCUCAACGGAUAAAAGGUACUCUGGGGAUAACAGGCUGAUACCGCCCAAGAGUUCAUAACGACGGCGGUGUUUGGCACCUCGAUGUCGGCUCAUCUCAUCCUGGGGCUGUAGCCGGUCCCAAGGGUAUGGCUGUUCGCCAUUUAAAGAGGUACGUGAGCUGGGUUUAAAACGUCGUGAGACAGUUUGGUCCCUAUCUUCCGUGGGCGCUGCAGAUUUGAGGAAGCCUGCUCCUAGUACGAGAGGACCGGAGUGGACACACCUCUGGUGUAUCGGUUGUCACGCCAGUGGCAUUGCCGAGUAGCUAAGUGUGGAAGAGAUAACCGCUGAAAGCAUCUAAGCGGGAAACUCGUUUCAAGAUGAGAUCUGCCGGGGCCUUGAGCCCCCUAAAGAGUCGUUCAAGACCAGGACGUUGAUAGGUCAGGUGUGGAAGC